UACGUAGGGGGCGAGCGUUGUCCGGAGUUACUGGGCGUAAAGGGCACGCAGGCGGUGCGGCGCGUUUCGCGUGACAGCGGAGGGCUUAACUCUCCGAGGAUGCGAAAGACGGCGGCACUUUGAGGGCCAGAGAGGGACACGGAAUUCCGGGUGGAGUGGUGAAAUGCGCAGAUAUCAGGAAGAACACCAGUGGCGAAGGCGGCUCACUGGCCCGAUACUGACGCUGAGGCACGAAAGCGUGGGGAGCAAACAGG
rnacentral:rRNA from 1 species